rnacentral:rRNA from 1 species
ACUCAAAGGAAUAGACGGGGGCCCGCACAAGCAGCGGAGCGUGUGGUUUAAUUCGAGGCUACACGAAGCACCUUACCUGGGGUUGACAUGGCGGUGAACGAGGCGGAAACGCCGAGGUUCGCAAGACACCGCCACUGGUGCUGCAUGGCUGUCGUCAGCUCGUGCCGUGAGGUGUUCGGUUAAGUCCGGUAACGAGCGCAACCCUCGGUGCCAGUUACACGUUGUCUGGCGCGACUGCCGGUGACAAGCCGGAGGAAGGUGGGGAUGACGUCAAGUCAGCAUGGCCUGUAUCUCCAGGGCCACACACACGCUACAAUGGCCGGUACAAUGGGCAGCUAUGGGGUAACCCGCCGCUAAUCCAUCAAAGCCGGUCUCAGUUCGGAUUGGGGGCUGCAACCCGCCCCCAUGAAGUCGGAGUUGCUAGUAACCGCGCGUCAGCCAUAGUGCGGUGAAUACGUUCCCGGGCCUUGUACACACCGCCCGU